rnacentral:tRNA from 1 species
GGGCCCGUAGUUCAACGGCAAAACGCCGCAUUCGCAUUGCGGAGGUGUGGGUUCAAUUCCCGCCGGGUCCA